rnacentral:tRNA from 1 species
UCUCCCGUGGCGCAAUUGGUUAGCGCGUCUGACUGUUAAUCAGGAGGUUGGUGGUUCGAGCCCACCCGGGAGAG